rnacentral:rRNA from 1 species
GUUGACCUCGGAUCAGGUAGGAAUACCCGCUGAACUUAAGCAUAUCAAUAAGCGGAGGAAAAGAAACCAACAGGGAUUGCCCCAGUAACGGCGAGUGAAGCGGCAACAGCUCAAAUUUGAAAUCUGGCCCCAGGCCCGAGUUGUAAUUUGCAGAGGAUGCUUUUGGCGCGGUGCCUUCCGAGUUCCCUGGAACGGGACGCCAUAGAGGGUGAGAGCCCCGUACGGUUGGACACCAAGUCUUUGUAAAGCUCCUUCGACGAGUCGAGUAGUUUGGGAAUGCUGCUCAAAAUGGGAGGUAUAUUUCUUCUAAAGCUAAAUAUUGGCCAGAGACCGAUAGCGCACAAGUAGAGUGAUCGAAAGAUGAAAAGCACUUUGAAAAGAGGGUUAAACAGCACGUGAAAUUGUUAAAAGGGAAGCGCUUGUGACCAGACUUGCGUCCGGUGAAUCACCCAGCUCUCGCGGCUGGGGCAUUUUGCCGGCUCAGGCCAGCAUCAGCUUGCCGUCGGGGACAAAAGCUUCGGGAACGUAGCUCUCUUCGGGGAGUGUUAUAGCCCGUUGCAUAAUACCCUUCGGUGGGCUGAGGUACGCGCUCCGCAAGGAUGCUGGCGUAAUGGUCAUCAGCGAC